rnacentral:tRNA from 1 species
CAGGGAGACAACAAAAUGUUUAAUAUUAUUAUUUUGUCACCUUAGGUCGAUCGGUAUCUCACGUUCUUAAUUUGUUAAGAAUUUCAUUUUCUAAGUUUUUCUAGGUCACACCCAUUAUUUUUCCUGGGCCAUUAGCUCAGGUGGUUAGAGCGCACCCCUGAUAAGGGUGAGGUCCCUGGUUCAAGUCCAGGAUGGCCCAUAUCUCUAUGUUGGGGGUAUAGCUCAGUUGGUAGAGCGCCUGCUUUGCAAGCAGGAUGUCAGCGGUUCGAGUCCGCUUACCUCCACUGAUUACCACCUCUUACAUAACUGGUAAAAAGGAAAUGUUUUGAGUUGUGAUCAUUAUUCUGAACGAAUCUAGCUUCCUAAUGAAAUCAUUAAGAUGCUGGACUCAUUGAAUUAAUUUCAUUGUUUUCAGAGAACCUUGACAACUGCAUAGAUUAUUUUUAAAGACAAUAAGCAUCUUUAAUGAUGCAGAUUUAUUAUUUGUGCGAAUGCAUUAAUAACAAUUCUAUUAAGCUGAUGCUUCAAUUUUUUGAAGUUAUU